rnacentral:rRNA from 1 species
GAUGAACGCUGGCGGCGUGCCUAACACAUGCAAGUCGAACGGAGUUACUUUGGUGAAGUUUUCGGAUGGAUCUGAUUUAACUUAGUGGCGGACGGGUGAGUAAUGCGUGAGCAACCUGCCCUUCAGAGGGGGACAACAGUUGGAAACGACUGCUAAUACCGCAUAAUGUAUCCGGAAGGCAUCUUCUGGAUACCAAAGGAGAAAUCCGCUGAUGGAUGGGCUCACGUCUGAUUAGCUAGUUGGUGAGGUAACGGCUCACCAAGGCUGCGAUCAGUAGCCGGACUGAGAGGUUGAACGGCCACAUUGGGACUGAGAUACGGCCCAGACUCCUACGGGAGGCAGCAGUGGGGAAUAUUGGGCAAUGGGCGAAAGCCUGACCCAGCAACGCCGCGUGAAGGAAGAAGGCCUUCGGGUUGUAAACUUCUUUUAAGAGGGACGAAGAAGUGACGGUACCUCUUGAAUAAGCCACGGCUAACUACGUG